rnacentral:lncRNA from 1 species
UCCUCUUGAUCAUAAAUCCAUAAAUUCCAAAUUUUUUUGUUUCAAAAAUUGUAAUUAACUUGCUACUUUUACAUGCUCAAGAUUAUUAUGGAUAAACAAGCAAGUUUAAAGGCAUGUAAUCCAAUAAAUUAUAUGAAAUAGAAUUCCAUAUGAUCUAAUUUAUAAAUAACAUGAUCAAGUUGAAUUUUAUGAUGCACAGGAUUGUGUGAUGUAUAAUAUAGAUUUGGAUCUUAUUUUCAGACUAAUCCUGAUCCAAAAAUGCGAUCUAGAAUGUUCAGGGCUAUUUUGAUCAGUAUAAUAGAUCCAUAUCAUGAAUCAUUAGUAUUUCAGGAACAAUUUAGCCGCUUACAUGCAACUUGAACUCAUCAAAUCUGCCUUGAUUUGCAUGCCCUACAUUAUCUAAUGCAUCACCCACUUCAUGAGGGUUUUAUGUGGUUCAAGUUCUUUGUGGACACUUCUACUUCAGGCUUAAUAUAUGCACACCUCAUGUACCAAUUGGGUGUAGAUCAGCUGGGCCAUGUCAAACAUGAAACUUUCAAGGCUUCCUAUUAAAUAGCGCUUGUUCAACAUCAUGCUUCAGCUGGACAGCUUACUUUUUUUUUUGGUGCAACGGCGGCUCACACACUGCAGGGUGGACAGCUACUUAACAACAAGCAAAAGUGGCAGAAUUUGUCUUUGAAUUGUACGCUAAUAAAAUACUAAAAAAGCGGUGUGUAGUAUUCAUUUAGCUGCAUCUAGAAAAAUAAGGAACAAAAAAGGAGAACAGCUGACACAAGGGAAAAAACUACAAUUGAGAAAACAGUUCAGGAAACCACUCAAAUUUCUCAGUUGUUUGCUCUCACUUCAAACUUUUCUUUUGUCUUCUUCUUGAUAUAUAGGACAGAACCCUUGUUCUGCCUCCCUUUUAUGUUUGUGUGCCAAGAAUGUUGUACAUCAUCCAAUCUCUUCUAUAUAUAUCCUUGCCUCCUCCUUGGCUCGUGUGUAAAUUUCAAUCUCAAGUCUUUAGGAGUGCAACAUAUGGAUCUUGAGGUAGUUUUGUAGAAGCAUCUAAUUAUUAUUGGUUAAUCUCUAUAUCAAAAUGAUAGAUUAUGCAUUCCAGCAUGACAAAAUUAAAAAUCCAUUAUUUGAAAAGAAAAAAAAAUAAAAGAGAAGUGAUUGGCACACUAUGUGUGAUUUUUUUCCUGGUCAUAUUAAAUGAUCCAAAUAUUAGCAACUUGGUGAAAACUAACUUCUCUUGAAUGUUAGCUUAGACUUAUAUGGAUUAGGAUGCAGAACUAGAGAUGGUUUAAGUCUAUUUGUAUGCAGCUUCAAGGUCAACCCUAUUUUUUACAAUCAAGCAGGCUCUUUCCUAGUUGAUAGGGCCUUAUGAGUUGCCAUGCGAAUGUCUAAUGAGCUUACUUAUAAUUUGGAGCCUAAUGAGAGGAACAAAAUUUAUGUGACUGCAAUCUGAGUUCAUUAUAAUUUGACUGAGCAUGAUCAACUUUAUGCAUAAUUGAUGUUUACUUCAUUCAUUCAACAGUCCUUCAAAUCGGCGUGUUUGCUUCUUUUAGAUUUUUGUUCACACUUAAACCCUAAUUUUAUAUUCUGGGUUCAUUGUCACAUUUGUGGUCAGUUUUGGUGUUGAAAUUUCAACUUUCAUAGUUUAAAUAUUUUGAAAACUCAGGUCAAAACUCAGCAAUUUAUAGAUUUAAGCCUUGCUUCCUGAGUCCUUAUACACCUCUACCAUAGAUUGUCCUAUAUUUGUUUGGUAUCCAAACCUUUGGAAAGCCACCAUAGCAUCCAAUCCAAUUCAUGGGGCAUAUCUGAUUAUCAAAAAUGUCCUUAUGAGUUAUGAACAUGUCCUUGAUGAAGAUUCCACUGUGGAUCUUGAACCACAUGAUUUUCUUGAUUGGAUCACAUAUCUAGAAGAUUACUUUGAUUGGUAUAGUAUGUCUGACCAGAUGGGAGUCCAUUUUUAUUUUUCUUUCUAUCUUCUUUCUCCCUAUUCUUACUUCUUUAUUUUUGUGCUUUGCUUUAAUUGCCUCUAUCUUUUCCUUCGCUGCAUUUUCCUCUGCAGUCGACAGCAUCCAAUUGAACCUGAUCAGAUCUAGUGAAUUGCUACUAGAUGUGAACCUAUAAAACCUUGACAAACCUUUUUUCCUACUUUCUUAAUUCAUUUUUAAUUAGAGAUCAGGUUGAAUUGAAUUUUUCAGCAAGCUUUUAUUCUAUUCCUAGCCUAAGCCCUUAUAGAUUCCCUCCCGUAGAUUGUCCUACAUCACUUUGUACUUUGUCUGUUGCUUGGGAAAUCAACUAGGUUGUAGCUUAAUCUUUCGGCUACAAUUGCCUAGGCUACUUGACAAUUAUGUACAUGAUACAGCAUUAGUUGAAAUAAAGACAUUGUCAAAUGGACGGUAUAUGCAACAAUUCAAAAGACAAGCAACUUAUAAUGUCAAUCUUUGGGGUAAUAUAGUCAAGUUGCAUGGAACUAAUAAUGCAUUAUCAUAUGAAGAUAUUCUUUUUGCUGGGUUUCAUAAACCGCAAUAAGCUGGUUAAACCUUUCUUGUAACCAUGUUUUUGAACUUCUCUAACUUAUUGUAGAUAGUAAAUUAUCAAACCUUUGGAUAAAAACUCAAAUAGGUUGUUGAACGAAAUACCAAAAGUAUAACCAUUCAGAUUUUUUCCCAGUUAUUUGGGCUCAUUUUUAUAUAGCCUUAUUCACCAAGUAUUCCGUCUUGAUCUGUGCAAGAAUUGCAAGCGACCUGGACACUAUGCUAGGGAAUGCCCAAAUGUGGCUGUCUGCAAUAAUUGUGGCCUACCAGNNNNNNNNNNNNNNNNNNNNCUACCCAUGAUCCCCACAACAUAGCUAAAUACAGUCAUAACAAGUCAACAACUAACAAGGACAAAAAUACAUAAUAAAUAAACCAAAAUACAUAAGAAAUAAAACUAUGGCAGCCAAAGUGCUAUGCACGCCGGCGACGCCUAUACACAUGCUGGAAACGGUGGUCUGUGUCCCCACCAUAUUCCUAUUUAGAGCCACCUCUGAUGCUAUUCUGAGAUUCUUUGUCUUCUCUUAUAACCUCCAUUCAUAUUACAUUAGUUAGGUCUUUCCUUCCUUUUCCUGCAACCUUCAACACAAAUUGAAGUACCUUUCCUUAUUGGAGACCCCCUGGAUCUUUGUUUUAUAUGCUUAUUACCAUCUCAAUCAAUUUUCAGUUUCUUUAUCGUUAACUUCUGCAACUCCUACAGCUCAUCUUCCACAUACAUUUCUCAAUCUAUUCUUUUUAUUGUUAUUGCAUACCCUUAACGUUCUCAUUUCUACCUCACUUAACUUGUUUUCCUCUUUAUGUCUAACAUUAUAUCCAUAUAACAUUGCGGGCCUUAUUAUUGUUCUGUAAAACUUUCCCUUAACUUUCCAAGUAUGUGUCAAUUAUAUAGUACUGUAGCAGUUCUCCACUUUAUCCAACUAACUCUAAUUUUAUUAUGUCAUUUACUAGAUCAUAAAUAACAAAACCAAUCAUUAUGUGGUAUCUCUUGUCUAUCAAUCUGAGUCGGAAUCUCAUCUUUGUUUCCAUUCUCACUAAAUACAUUUCAUAUACUCAGUCUUUAUUCUACUGAUUUUAAUCUCUUAUCCUCUAAAGCUUUCUUCUAUAAGUCCAAUUUAGUUUUUGAUGUAGUUCUUUUCUUCAUCAAUAACAUACAUCCCGGUGCAUGUUCUUGAAUAUUAGCAAUAUGCUUUAAUACAAAGUUAAUAUUUUGGGCUCUUGUGCAUAAUAUACUUAUAUUGGAGUUCAUAUAGCAGAGUUGUUGAUUUUCAUAUGUUUUCUUGGGUUCCAUAAUUAAAAAUUGACCAAUCAGAUUGUGUACAACCAUUUGCAUAUUUUUCUCUAAGUGCUUGUAACGUGAAAACUUAAACCCAUUGUAUGCUUUAAAAGUGAACUAACCUAAGUUGAAAUUGCAGGCCGACCAAAUUGCUAUUCAAAAGAUUAAGGGUAUGUUAGAAAAGAAAAUAUAUAGAAUCAUAUAUAUAUAUAUAUAAUAUAACAGAAGGUAAAAGAAAGGAAGAUCCUUUUUUUCCCCUGAUAAAUGGUAAACCUGCAAUUCUGAAUCAGCAAAAUAUUAUGAAGUAAUUUUUUCAUAUUACAGAAGUUAAAGAAAUUGACAUAUAGAUUAUCUAAAUCAGGAUUUGCAAUAUCCAUAUAUGCAUGUAUAUCAGAUUUGAGAUGUUUGAAUUAAAACAAAGCAAGCAUAAUUUGUCAAUGAAAUCUAAUUUAUUACAGUGUGAUAUAUUAUUUACUGAAUAGAAUACACCAUAAAAGUAGUUGUGAAAAGCGAAGUUUAAAUCCCUUGAACGAUGAUUGUUAAUAUAAUUAAUACAACAAACCUAGAUAGCAUUGAAAUAAAAUUGCAACUGGAAUAAAUAUUGUAUAUAGUUGUUGAAGUAAAAUAGAAUUGAAACUAUUUUAAAAUAAUUUUGGAAAUCAUUAUUAUAAUAUCCACAUAAGCACUUGCUGUCUGAAGCAGGAGAUAGGUGUUAUACAGAAAUUAUCACAAGGUACUUAUUGCAGAAUACUUUGUAAUGCAGUCAUAAUGGCAUGUGUAGAAUUAGAGAUUACAUGACGUUGGAAGUAUGAUUAAGGAAUUGCAGGGAAAGUGAAAGAAUAGAGAGGACAAGUAAACUAAGCAACUCAAACAGUGACCUUACGUAGCAUGUUUUGUUAAAGAAAAGAUUCUCAACAAAGAAAUGAUAAGUAAAAGAUAGUAAUUAGGUGCAAAUGAUUAAGUGAUAACUGAUAUUUGUAUGCUACAUUAUGAUCUGGUAUUGUGACAGACAUAUUAUAGGACCAUGAUAGUACAUCAAAGUUUCUAUAGGAAAAAAUGUAGUCCUAAUUUUGCAUGAAAAAAUUGUUAUAUUCUUUAGGUCCAGUUUGGUUUUUACAUCACAUAAGUAGAUGUCUUCUAGUUGGUCAGCUUGAAAGGAUGCCAUACCAUGCUAGUACCAGAUUGAGACAUAGCAUGACUUGGAGGCAUAUUUUUCUGAAUGGGUUACUUUACACAUUUGAUCAUGAUCAAGUGCUUUUGGAUUAUCUCAUGUCUUUUGAUUUAAUUUACUUAAUUUAAAUGCACCCUCAUACAUCAUCGUGCUUCAUGCAUUGCUUACAUGACUCCAGAUCCACCUUAAUGAAAGCAACUAGACCUGAAAUAUUGAUGUCAAAGUCAAUUGUCCAGUGGAUUUCUGAAAGUAAUGUUUCAUUUCUUUUUUUGGGGGACAAAGUGACAUUUUUCUUUUCUUUUUUCUUUGUUAUCUCAGCAAGUCCUUUCUAUGCAUUAUAAUUUAUUCGAUAUCUCUGUACAUGUGCAUAAAUAUGAGGCUGGGUGCAUGGGUGUCCAUGUACUUGUUUGUGGCUUGGUGGGGGUAAUAUAUAUGCACUUCUAUAGUGUUGUUUGAUUUCCAUUUGCUGCUUACGAAGGACCUUAAUUUUUGUUCUAGUUUUACAAUUUGAGUUGUAAAGAGGGCUCUGCCAUUCAAGAUAAGAAUUGUGUGCGCGUGCAUGCUGCUUGAUGGAGAUAAUGGAUAUGCACUUCUAGAAUGCUGUCUGUUCUCCACUUGCUGGUUGCAAAAAAUAAGGAUGUUAUGUUUGCAUGCGCCAUAUAACUUAGGAAUAAAGAGGACCCUAAGAUUAAAGAUAAGAUUGAAGAGCAGCAAAAUUAUAAGUGACUUGGACUUCGAAUUUAGGAUAGACAUGAAUCAGUUUCAGGAAGGCUAGAAAUUGCAUGUGGAUGAAGUUAUGGAGAUGGGGAACAGAUCUGUUCGUGCUUCAUCAAAUCAAAUGGUGUUGGCACAUAAAGCAGGGAAUACAAGUAAACCUGUCUUGGAGGUUGACGAAGGUAUUUGGAAAAGCUUGUUGUAUGAAGUUUUCAAGAAUGAGCAUGGGUUUUCUCUAACCAUGUUCUUGCUGAUUCUGUGCUUGUCCAGAUAAAAUUCCUUUAUCCAAGAAUGAGCUUUGUUAAUAUGCUAAAAUUUGCACCUAUAUUGCUUGCUUGGUUAAUAUGGAAAAUUACUUUAUUGAUGUUGCAUUUUCAGUUUGCUAGCAUGAAUUUAAUUGCCAAUGUAGCAAAAGCUGAGUAGCUGGAAACUAGUACCUAAGGUAACGUACCUGCUUUGGAAAUUCUCUGGUAACUCAAACCUGCGCCUGCUUCAUAAGUGCCUCCUUCAAGUGUCUGCAGACCCACACCUGCACCUGCUCUGCUCCGCUCCCAAUUCUGGCAAUAAGAACAGAAGACAUGAUUACAUGUUAACUUAAUUACUAUUUAAUAGAAAUAUAUUAUUGAUUACUUGAAGAUGGUCCUGGAUGCAUGUAGUGAUGUUUUUUUAAAUUAUUUUUGUCAACAGAGAGUGCAAUAGUUUGGAUAUUGAAAAUUCUCGUUUUGCUGUUUCUUUAUAGGCGUCUUGAUCUGUGCAAGAAUUGCAAGCGACCUGGACACUAUGCUAGGGAAUGCCCAAAUGUGGCUGUCUGCAAUAAUUGUGGCCUACCAGGGUAAGAAUCAGAAUAUAAUAUGUCUCCACUAUAUACUUACAUGGUCUUAGUAGGCUUGUGAGUUGGAUUUUGCCGGUACUUGUUUUUUGAUUGGUG